rnacentral:lncRNA from 1 species
AUUCAAUUGUUAGAAAGAUGACUUAGUCAAUUUAUACUUAUUGAAAGAAGAGAGUAAAUGAAUCAAUAAAUGAAUGUUCAUUGUAUUCAAAUAUAAAGUAACAGGAGAACUUGAACAUAUCCUUUAAGUCCCAUAAGAGAAGAAUGGAGUGAAAGACAGUAUUUAAGGAAGAAAGAUAUUUUCAGGGCCCUUAUUGCUCUUGUGUAUUGUCUAGUUAAUGCUAACCUCUUCGCCACUGUCAGUCCUAGAAGGGCAAGCAUUUCAUUGUCCUCAUUCACUGCUACAUCCCCAGCCCCCAGCAUAGUAAUUGGCACAUGACAGACACUCAAUGCAUGUUUGCUAAAUAAAUUACAUAGGGAAUUUUUUAGAGCAAAGGCUCGUUAUAGAGAGGGAAAUUUUUGAGGCAUUAAAAGAAGAUAAUACAAACAAAACAAAACCUAAAGCAUCUUAAGUCAAAUCACUAAAAAUGGUCUCCAAAUUUCUCUGUGUCUGACCUCGUCUGAGCCUCACUGAGCUUUGAGCUCUCCCCCUGUACAAUGUCAAGCCAGGGAGGCAGCCAUAAGUGAUAAUCUAUGUAAACUCAACCACUCUCUCAUUACCCCAGAGUAGAUUGUAAAAACUGAUACUGCCUCUUGAGAGUUCUUUUGGAGAGCACUCUCUACUUCCA